GUUUAUGACCAUACCUCCCUAACCAACCCUGAUCUCAUCUGAUCUUGGAAGCUAAGCAAGGUUGGGCCUGGUUAGUACUUCGAUGCGGGACUAUCUGGUAAUACCGGAUGCUGUAGGCU
ensembl:rRNA 5S_rRNA 5S ribosomal RNA